rnacentral:lncRNA from 1 species
GUGUCUCCAACGGUCACCAACGUUCACCUAGUCUGAAGCUGUCACACUCGUGACGGAAGGUGUUACGGGCGUCACAUGCACUUGUAUGACGACCGUGAUGGCUUGUGUGACGCUCGUCACACAGUCAGCUUGCAACGGUCACUGCUUACAUGGGUGCUUCAUAAUUUGUUUUUAUUAUUUUAUUGUUUUUAUUUUGUUUUGUU